CGCCGCCUCCUCCGGCUGGGAAUAGCUUGUACUGCGAUGAGGCGGCGUUAUGAGAGAAUUCGGAUUAGGGGCACGGAUCCUGGGUUCUUCCUGGCAAAGGUGAUGACAUCCAUCUGUAACCUCAUCUCAAGAGUGAACCUCAUUGCUUACUCCAUGGCAACUAGGAUGGAUUUUACCUUGCUUAUGGUUAGAAAAUGAAAAGUUUACUGAUAUCUCAUCAUGUAGUUCAGGCUGGACUU